AAAAUGGGCAGUCAAAUACUCUCCGAAAACUCUAGGAAACUUUAUUUUGAUUUUCUUUCAACUCCUCCUUUGCCACUGACCAGUGGGUCUGGAUCAGUCCAGCACCGCAAGGGACACGCGCCCGCCUCCUGCCCGGCUGUCUCUUGAUCUUUCUCCUCCCCCCUCCGCUACCUCACUCCUCAUUCUUUUCCUCCCUCCCUGGAUCCCCUCUCUCGUCAAGCUCGCCGUUGCAACGCCAGCCGCAGGGACCAGCGGGAUCCGCCAGCCGUCGGUCCGGAUCGACGUCCACGCCUCCGGCUCCGGCAUGCACGCCUGCUAGACACCGCCGUGAACCACCUCGUUUCUCCGAACCUCUUGAACCAAGGCUGCCUUUCUCGGUUCCAUCAGCCGCCGUUGCGACGCCGCGGCGGUCAUCCUCCUCCCCGAGCAACUAUAGGGACCGUGACGGGCUCUGCGUCUGGACAACGGACUCGAAGCCGCGGGUCCCUCCUACUUCUUCCUCGACCACUGACCGCCAUUGACGUCGUCCGGAACUCCCUGCCAUCCGUCCUCUCGCCUCCCUGAUCCGUCCGACCAGGCCGCCAUGAACAACAAGGACAUUCAUGAGGGUUUGAAUUUUUCUGCUGCUGAUGAUGAAUCCUCCUUUGGAAUCUUUUAAAUAAAGUUUUCAAAAGAUGGCCGUGAACUUGUUGUUGGAAACAGCAAUGAGUCAAUAUGUAUUUAUGAUCUUGGAGGAAACAAAGUGACAGAGCGAAUUCAUGCUCAUGUGGUAUGAAAGUCAAAUGCACUCUUUCUUUUGUUGCUUCCAUAACCUGUCCUUACAAUGUACACAACACUGUUUGGUGAUAGACAUAUCUUCUUAGGUCAUAUUCGGAUGUACUUCUAAAAUCAUUUCAAGUAUCUAAUGUGAGCAUUGGUACUGUUUGCAUGCAAAGAAAAUUAAAGAAAGGAGUUUGUUUGUAAGAUUUUAGUCUGCUGCCAAUAGAAAUGCACUUACAUUAUUAGUAAAACAAAAGCACUUACAUUGCAUAUUCUACACGCUUUUGUACUACAUCCUCUAAUGGUUCGUUAUGACUGAAGUAAUCAUCCACAUAGGCAUAGCAGAUUGAAGUAAUGAACCACAGAACGCAAUAGUUCUUGGUGGUGCUUUAAGCAUAGCAGUUUGGAUAGAUACUCAUAGCAUGCUAGAAGUUGUGUCUUGUAGAUUACGAAACUGAAAUAAAAUUCGUCUUUGUAGGAGUCUCACAGUGUAGUGUAGUAUCACAGAAACACCUAAUGCCUCUAAGAGGUAUUUCCAAACCAGAAGCAAAAAGGAAAAUCUCAAACAGUUUGUGGCGUGCCAACACUAUUCAAGGUGUUUGGCUUUUGUUCUUGAAAAAAAGGUGUUUGGCUUUCUGCAUAACUGCAGAGUGAUGGUAUAUGAUGAAAGGAAACACUGUAAAUGUUAGAACCACUAAGUCUGAAGUAGAUUAGAUGACAAGUAAAUAUAUAAAUAUCAGUAAAACGAAUCACUACAUCAGCUGAAGCAGCAGCUGUGUUGGUAGUCUGUGAAGGCUGGAAGUUGUCUCAUUCGGGCCUGCAGUAUUUGGCCUACGGAUACAUGAAUAGAUGUUUAUGCAAUUUGUUAGAUAUUGUAAAAAUUCACGACUUGCAGUAUUUGUCAUCUGUAUUUAGUUUAUUCCUCUUCCUCACGCUGAACUUGGAGCCAAAGACCUCAUGUCCUGCCGUAGCUGGCCCCCUCUGCUGCAUCAAGCAUCCACCAUGGGAGAUUGAUUCCUUAAUUAAUCUGAAAAGAGUUGCUUGUGUUGAUGUACUAUUAGAACUUCAUAACAGAGGAGAUUGGAAGAUGGAGAGAAAGGGACAAGGGAGAGGCGGCCCUCAGCCACGGCCGCCCACGCCCAGCCUCGAUCCCCUCCGGAUCGGGAUCGGGAGAGCCAGCGCUCGAUCCCUGCCUCGCCUCGCCACCUCGACGUCGGCGAGCCCUGCCAGAACCAGCUUCACAGGCGCCACCCUUCCUUCCUCUCCUUCCUCUCGUUUUCCCCUUCCUCCAUCCCGUGCUCUCUCUUAUCUAUCUCUCUCUCUCUGUUCGAACAGGAGAUACCCAGCCGCCCCAGCUAGGCCCAGUCGAGCCACGUUAACCUUCAGUUGAGAUGGACGGCGGCGCAGAGGGGACGGCGAGGUCGCCGGCAAGUACAACGACGACCGAUUGGCGGAGGCUCUGGUCGAGCGGCGAGCCCUCCCGGGCGGCGCACAGCGAGGAGCUCGGGCGCGCGGAGGAGAGGAGGAUCUGAGGCUUAACGGUGGUGCAGGGUUCUGCGCUCGCCAGCGUCGGCCGGCGCGGCACCGGAUGAGCGUCGGGGUGGGCGCCUCCUUGCGGCUGGAAUCGGGAGGCGAGGGAGAGAGAGGAGAGCCCGUCCUGGUCCGCGGGUUGAGUAUAGGGAUUUAUUUGCAAAGUUGUCGAACGAAACGUUUUUUCACUUAAAAAAGGAGGUGCGGGUUGAAUACGAAAAA